AACGCACAUUGCGCCCCUUGGUAUUCCAUGGGGCAUGCCUGUUCGAGCGUCAUUUGUACCUUCAAGCUCUGCUUGGUGUUGGGUGUUUGUCUCGCCUUUUGCGCGCAGACUCGCCUCAAAACGAUUGGCAGCCGGCGUAUUGAUUUCGGAGCGCAGUACAUCUCGCGCUUUGCACUCACAACGACGACGUCCAAAAAGUACAUUUUUACACUCUUGACCUCGGAUCAGGUAGGGAUACCCGCUGAACUUAA
rnacentral:misc_RNA from 1 species